UACGUAGGUGGCGAGCGUUGUCCGGAUUUACUGAGCGUAAAGGGAGCGUAGGCGGACUUUUAAGUGAGAUGUGAAAUACUCGGGCUCAACUUGAGUGCUGCAUUUCAAACUGGAAGUCUAGAGUGCAGGAGAGGAGAAUGGAAUUCCUAGUGUAGCGGUGAAAUGCUUAGAGAUCAUACAGAACACCGAUUGCGAAGGCAGCUUACCAAACUAUAUCUGACGUUGAGGCACGAAAGCGUGGGUAGCAAACAGG
rnacentral:rRNA from 1 species